CAGCACCUCAAGUGGUCAGGAUGAUUAUUGGGCCUAAAGCAUCCGUAGCUUGCUUUGUCAGUUUUCGGUUAAAUCCAUACGCUCAACGUAUGGGCUGCCGGGAAUACUGCAGAGCUAGGGAGUGGGAGAGGUAGACGGUACUCGGUAGGAAGGGGUAAAAUCCUUUGAUCUAUUGAUGACCACCUGUGGCGAAGGCGGUCUACCAGAACACGUCCGACGGUGAGGGAUGAAAGCUGGGGGAGCAAACCGGAUUAGAUACCCGAGUAGUCC
rnacentral:rRNA from 1 species